AGCACUGGAGGCCACCCAGUCAUGGGGGACACCUUCAUCCGUCACAUCGUCCUGCUGGGCUUUGAGAAGCGCUUCGUACCCAGCCAGCACUAUGUGUACAUGUUCCUGGUGAAAUGGCAGGACCUGUCAGAGAAGGUGGUCUACCGGCGCUUCACCGAGAUCUAUGAGUUCCAUAAAACCUUAAAAGAAAUGUUCCCUAUUGAGGCAGGGGCAAUCAAUGCAGAGAACAGGAUCAUCCCCCACCUCCCAGCUCCCAAGUGGUACGAUGGGCAACGGGCCGCCGAGAACCGCCAGGGCACGCUUACCGAGUACUGCAGCAUGCUCAUGAGCCUGCCCACCAAGAUCUCCCGCUGUCCCCACCUCCUCGACUUCUUCAAGGUGCGCCCCGAUGACCUCAAGCUCCCCACGGACAACCAGACAAAAAAGCCAGAGACAUACUUGAUGCCCAAAGAUAGCAAGAGUACCGCGACAGACAUCACUGGCCCCAUCAUCCUGCAGACGUACCGUGCCAUUGCCGACUAUGAGAAGACCUCGGGCUCCGAGAUGGCUCUGUCCGCGGGUGACGUGGUGGAGGUCGUGGAGAAGAGCGAGAGCGGUCAGACCUCCCACCCUACAGGGCUCCUUCCCCUGGUGCUCAGGAACCCACAGCCACAAGCCCCCUGCCAAGGCUUAGGCAGCCUGGCCCCUGGGAGGACUCCGGCUCCGUUAGGGGCCCUGAAUGUCUUCCCCACACUGCGGGUCACCCUCUCUCUGAGUGUGCACCCUGUGGUGGCUGUGGGCAUCUGUGCAUGGCAGGCCGGGGCGGGGCAUGUCUGCGUGUUCUGUCUGGAUGGGUAUGGGACCAUCUGCUCAUUAUGAAGUGGGCUCAGAGCUGUGAUUCUGUGAGCAUAUGUGCAUGCAUGCAUGUGACCUCAUUGUCCAGUGUGGUGAAGGUGACAUUUCCAAAUCUGAGCAUUGGACAUCAGUGUGUCUGUGUCCCUGUGUCCUCACCAUCCCUGAUGGCUGCAGGGAGCCGCUGGGCCCUGCCCCUCAGUCACAUUCCCACACCUCUGGCACAGGUUGGUGGUUCUGUCA
rnacentral:sRNA from 1 species